CCUUAAAGUGCGGGCGCAUUGUGAGCUGUUUAAAAGCUAAUGGGGUUUCCUGAAGGCGCCAGCUUGAAGGCAGCAACCAAAGGGUUAAUAUUGUAUUCAUUAUUUAGCUUUACUUUGGCGCACUGGCAGCUCCAACUACCAAGGGAUUUGAAUUACGGUUCGCGAGAUGAAGUUUUUUCUGCUGAUGAUUUUCUCCUUGAUCCAUUGCCCUCUGGCUAAUUGUGAUCACAGCAGCAGUGAGUCAGACAGUAAUGAGGUCAGAAUGAAUCCUCAUCACAGCAGCAGCAGUGAGUCUGACAGUGAUGAGAAUUGCAAUGGCCGUCCGUUUCCUCACUGGCCUUCUCGACCUUUCUGGCCAUUUCCGGGUCUGUGGCCGCAGCCACCACCACCUCGUCCACCCCCAACCCCAGCACCAUCCACAACACUCAAACCAACCACCACCCAAGAUCCCCCUCCGACUACAACGGCUGCUGCUACCACCGAGAGCUCACGAGGAGACAACAACGCCGUGCUCUGAGAGCAGCAUGAGCAGCCUGGCUGACUCGGUCAAAAGCAGAUGUAUGUUCCGCUCAUAUUGUAUGUGUGUUGUGUUUCAUCAUGUUGCCAUGUGGGAACCAGACCUUCACAAACAUGUCAACAUAUUUGUCCUUGUAUUUCAGUAUUGGUUCAGCAACCUUUCCGCAUUCUCAUGUAUUUUUCGGUUGACUACUAUCAUGCACUUUUCAUAUUAGUUCUAUCAGCAUAAUGUCGCACAGCCCAAACAACAACCUAAAGAAUGUUUUGAUAUGUGGUGAUUUAUAACAUGUUAAAGUGAGACAGGCACUUGUUCUGAGGUUUAAAUGUGAGUUCUGAUGGAGGUUGGUCUCCGGACGUCUGUGGGAGCCGUGUGGGAGUUGCUGACGACAGGGCGGUGGAUCAGCAGCCCUGGAUCAACUGAGCUUAUAAAGGGCUGAGCGUUGAACCCUUAAUGCCUGACUCUUUGCUUCAUCACUGAAGUCUGGCGUACGGUACUUUAUCAUGACUCGGCACAUUCAUGGCACUGCACUGACAACUCUUCGAUGCAUUUAUUCACACUAACAUUAUUGUACAACUUCAAUACUACAUCUGUUGUUUUAAAAACAGGUCUGUGUGUAUUGUCAGGUGGGUUUUGCACAGCUACUCAUUGAGAAUGUAAACUUUUUUCAGAGUUUUUUGUUUUCUCAAUGUCAAUUUAACUUGCAAUGUAAACCGGGCAAAGAUCGGGCAGAGCUUGGUGUGAGUCAGUAAUUCUGAACCCGGCACUGAAUUAUGAGCAUACAGCGCUUUAUGAUUUGUAGUUGAUGUGGAAAGUUUUUAUUAAAUAUUGAGGUAACACUUUUUGUCGUAAAACUCUUAA